UUACAGCCACAUCACAUUGAAACCACCAGUUCCCCUACAAUCACUGAAGUUAAGCAACAUCAAGCCUGGUCAAUACAUAGUUGGAUGACCACUUGGAAAUACCAGGUGUGGUAAG
rnacentral:rRNA from 1 species